rnacentral:tRNA from 1 species
GAUCGACUGGUCGAGCAGCAGCGCGGCCAGCGCGUUGUUGCUGCGCCGGAUGCGUUCGUACGCCUGCUCGGGUUUGGCGUCGGCCC